rnacentral:rRNA from 1 species
GGGGCACUGUCUCGACGAAGGGCCCGGUGAAACUGAAAUAGGCGUGAAGAUGCGCUUUACCCGCAGCAGGACAAAAAGACCCCGUGGAGCUUUACUGCAGCUUGGUACUGGGUUAGGGCUUAGUCUGUGUAGGAUAGGUGGGAGGCUGAGAAGCCGGGGCGCCAGCCUCGGUGGAGCCGUCCUUGAAAUACCACCCUGGCUAAGUCUUGGCUCUAACCCCUGGCCGUGAUCCGGCAGGGGGACAGUGCCUGGUGGGCAGUUUGACUGGGGCGGUCGCCUCCUAAAAGGUAACAGAGGCGCCCAAAGGUCCCCUCAGGUGGAAUGGAAACCCACCGUAGAGUGCAAAGGCAUAAGGGGGCUUGACUGUGAGGCCUACAAGCCGAGCAGGGACGAAAGUCGGGCUUAGUGAUCCCACGGUUCCGAGUGGAAGGGCCGUGGCUUACCGGAUAAAAGCUACCCCGGGGAUAACAGGCUAGUCGGGCCCAAGAGUUCACAUCGACGGCCCGGCUCGGCACCUCGAUGUCGGCUCGUCGCAUCCUGGGGCUGGACAAGGUCCCAAGGGUUGGGCUGUUCGCCCAUUAAAGCGGUACGUGAGCUGGGUUCAGACCGUCGUGAGACAGGUCGGUCUCUAUCCGCUGCGGGCGCAGGGGACUUGAGGGGAGCUGCCCUCAGUACGAGAGGACCAGGGUGGACAGACCUCUGGUGUGCCAGCUGUCCCGCCAGGGGCACCGCUGGGUAGCCACGUCUGGCAGCGAUAACCGCUGAAAGCAUCUAAGCGGGAAGCGCGCCCCAAGAUGAGGUCCCCCACCGGGUUAACCGGGUAAGACCGCCGGGAGACUACCGGUUUGAUAGGCCGCAGGUGUAAGCGCAGCAAUGCGUUGAGCCGAGCGGUACUAACGGUCGAGGGCUUGUCCGUGA